GGCCUUAUGGACCUCCUGGAGGAGAAGGUGGACCUGAGGUAGCGAGCGGAGAAACUAGAACUUCGAUUCAUCCAGUACUGGAAAGACAGAAGUCAUCAGAAAGUUCAUCACCCUAGAACACAGCCAGGGGGCAGUGCCAAAGAUGCAGCAACGGGAGGAGGACAUCAUCAGGCUGGUCCAGGACACGGAGGAGAUGAAGGUGAAGCUGCUGGAGCUGCUGGAGAUGAUGUUGCGGCUUGUGGUGGCUACAAGGAGGGGC